rnacentral:lncRNA from 1 species
AAGAUUACAAUAUAGACCCCGACACGUACGAAGGAGAGUUAUUCCAAGAAGAUGGGCUCGAAGGGAGUUUUGUGAUAGAUUUAACCGAAGCGAUCGGAAUGGAAGUAGACAACGAGAGGGUUGCUGCAGAAGACGGUGGAGACGAGGUUCAGAAUGUGAAGGACUUAGAAUUACUUCAACGAUUACAGUUAGAUAAUGACAGUGAUGACGACAUUCCUUCUUCGGAGCACGAGCUUGACUAUAUCGACACGCGUGAUAGUGAUGAUGAGACUUAUGAUCCAGCUAAUCCCGAUCAUGAUGAUUAUUUCUAAUACAUGUAUGAUUCGUAAUAAUUUAGCUAUAAUUACUUGUAAUUUGCAUAUAUUUCUAAUUAUGUUUUGUUUGCCUAUGCUGACUCGUGUACUCUUUUUAAUUGCAGGUCAUUAAGCAAUGGUGGGCGGUAUCA